rnacentral:tRNA from 1 species
AAAUAAGAAACAAUCAAUUUGUAUUUAGCUUCGACCUAAAAUUUAGACUUUAGUCCUUAUUUU